AACAUAUAAAUAAAACAAAGAUAUAUUAGGCAAACAACAAUUGCGGCAAUCAAUGUACAGAAGGAAGGAAAGAGUAGACGCCCCUUUCAUCCAAACAUGACUUGUACAGUAAAACAGGAGAAAAUUUAUCGCCUGGAUCCCGCUAUUCGAGUCAUUCUGUAGAUGGCAAUGACAAUGUGAGUUUAAAGAUGAAACCAACCAAAAUUCCAAUAAGUCCCACAACAAACGCGAAAGUCAGGGAAAACCCUGGACUAUUUUUUCGAUAUCCCCGUCGCUUCAUCAUGUCCAGUUCCUUUUGCAGUUGACGAGUUUGUUGGACAGCUGCAUCCCUUUCAUCCUUCAGGCGCUGUAAUGCCUGAUUAGAGUUAGGAUCAAGACUCUGUGAGGAGAUUUUUUUUGUCUCUUCUUCCGAGUUUCCUUGAGUUGAUGGGUUGACAUAUACAACUCUAAGCUUGCACUCUUCAAAUGUCUUUCCACUACCAUCCUUAUUGAAAGUAUCUGGUGGAAGCUCAUCAACAUCAG
rnacentral:misc_RNA from 1 species